rnacentral:rRNA from 1 species
GACAGAGGGGGCAAGCGUUGCUCGGAAUCACUGGGCGUAAAGGGCGCGUAGGCGGGAUGGCAAGUCAGGGGUGAAAUCCUGGAGCUCAACUCCAGAACUGCCUUUGAUACUGAAGAUCUUGAGUUCGGGAGAGGUGAGUGGAACUGCGAGUGUAGAGGUGAAAUUCGUAGAUAUUCGCAAGAACACCAGUGGCGAAGGGCGGCUCACUGGCCCGAUACUGACGCUGAGGCACGAAAGCGUGGGGGAGCA